rnacentral:lncRNA from 1 species
GCAGCCCUGGCCAACCAGGACCUGCCGCGUGGCAAGACCACGUCGACCAGGGAACGGGCCAUGUAGGCGAUCCGUGUGCCCGCGAUCGGACGGCCCAGAUGCGUCCCUACGCGCACGGACGGCCCAGAUCAAGCGUGCGCACGGACGGCCCAGAUGCAAUCGCACGGACGGCCCAGAUGCACGCGCACGGACGACCCAGAUUCAAUCAAAAACGGACGGCCCAGAUUUAAUCAAAAUGGACGGCUGUGAUCAAAAGGCAAAAGGGUAUAAAUAGAACCCCCACACCUGACCACAAAAACCCUAGCCGCCUGCCCUCGCUGGAGAAGACGAACCAGACACCGGAGGAGCCGGCCGCCGCCACCCGCCGCCACACCGGGGAGUUUUUUGACCGCCGAUCGAGGUAAAUUUCAUACCCCCGACUCGUUUUUCCAUGCUGAGUUCCCCUGUGGCCAAAUCGGAGCCAAAAUCCCAGCCAAACGGCUGAAACACACUGCCGAAACCCAGCGGCGCCGCCGCGCCCCUCCUCGGUUUUUGCUUCCGAUGAGGCCCUUCCUGGCCUCCGUUUGAUGCAAUUUUUAUAUCACCGUGAUCGCCAUUCUUUUCUCUACAAGUUGAUCAGAUCCGAAUCACCAAAACACGAACCUCGCCGGAGAGCCGCCGCACCCGAGAGCACCGCCACCGGUAAGCUUCGGUUUU